AAAGACUUAGUCCCAACCUUACCGUUGGUUCCUGCUAGACGUAUACAUGCAAGUAUCCGCAUUCCAGUGUAAAUGCCCUAGGCACCCUUCAACCAAGUCGAUAGGAGCGGGUAUCAGGCACACACAUUUGUAGCCCAAGACGCCUUGCACUUGCCACACCCCCACGGGUACUCAGCAGUAGCUAACAUUAAGCAAUGAGUGUAAACUUGACUUAGUCAUAGCAGCCUUGAGAGUCGGUAAAUCCUGUGCCAGCCACCGCGGUCAUACAGGAGACUCAAAUCAACUUUGCAUAACGGCGUAAAGAGUGGUCACACGUUAUCCAAGUAACUAGAAUUAAAAAGCAACUGAGCCGUGACAAGCCCAAGAUGCUCAUAAGGCCAACUACCAAAGAAGAUUCUAGACUCAGCGAUCAACUGAAAUCCACGAAAGCCAGGGCCCAAACUGGGAUUAGAUACCCCACUAUGCCUGGCCCUAAAUAUUGAUACUCCACAUUACCUGAGUAUCCGCCCGAGAACUACGAGCACAAACGCUUAAAACUCUAAGGACUUGGCGGUGUCCCAAACCCACCUAGAGGAGCCUGUUCUGUAAUCGAUAAUCCACGAUACACCUAACCAUUCCUUGCAAAAUCAGCCUACAUACCGCCGUCGCCAGCCCACCUCCAUGAUGGAUCAACAGUGGACGCAAUAGUCUCUUUACACUAGUACGACAGGUCAAGGUAUAGCCUACGGAAUGGAAGCAAUGGGCUACAUUUUCUAGACUAGAACAUUACGGCAAAGGGGCUUGAAACAGCCCCUAGAAGGCGGAUUUAGCAGUAAAGUGGGACAAUCAAACCCUCUUUAAACCGGCUCUGGGACACGUACAUACCGCCCGUCACCCUCCUCAAAAGCGACCCAAACUUUAAAUACAUUAAUACGCUAUCAAGCUAAAGAUGAGGCAAGUCGUAACAAGGUAAGUGUACCGGAAGGUGCACUUAGACAAC
rnacentral:ncRNA from 1 species